AGCUGAAUGAAAUCAAGCGCACCUAAUCUCAAUUGGGAAAUUGGACCAAUGGAAAUUAUGUUCAGUGGCUUGCAGGUGUACCUAAUUAACCAGCCAAAUUAGAAGGGUCUAGGAUUCCUUUGUAAGGCGCAGCAAAAAAGACAAUCAGAUACAAUAUCAGGGAUCUCCUGGUAAGGCUUCUGGCUACCAUUAGUUCUGACUACUGAGGUUUUGAUGAGAAAAAUGGCUGUGAGUUUUGAAAUGUCUUUGAGAAUUUCUUGGAUUUGUUGCCUGCUAAUUGGAGGGAUAACCUGUUAUCCUCCACCUAAAGGUAAUUAUAGAUAUAUUCCCCAAAAUCAAGUAAAAGGAACUGGCCACAAUGCAGCGGAAGCUACUGGCUCCCGUGCCUCGACAGGUGAAGCUACCGGCUCCCGUGCCUCAGCAGGUGAAGCAGCCACCCAUAACGCCUCUGUAAGCGUCACGACUGGCCCAAAUACCUUAGCUGAAGCAACUGGCCACAAUGCUUCAUCAAGCGCCACGACUGUCCCAAAUGCCUUAGGUGAAGCAGCUGGCCACAGGGCCGCGCAAGCCAUCACCCAUAAUGCCUCGGCAAGAAUGGCAACUGGCCCAAAUACCUUAGGUGAAGCAACUGGCCACGGUGCCUCGGCAGCGGAAGCAACUGGACACAGUGCCAUGCAAACGGCCACUCAUAAUGCCUCAGAAGCGGCCAACCACAAUGCCUCUGCAAGCGUCACGACUGGCCCAAAUAUCUUAGGUGAAGCAAAUGGCCACAAUGCUUCAUCAAGCGUCACGACUGGCCCAAAUACCUUGGGUGAAGUAUCCGACUCCCGUGCCUCAGCAGAAGCAGCAACCCAUAAUACCUCAGCAAGCAUCACGACUGGCCCAAAUACCUUGGGUGAAGUAUCCGACUCCCGUGCCUCAGCAGAAGCAGCAACCCAUAAUAUCUCAGCAAGCGUCACGACUGGCCCAAAUACCUUAGCUGAAGCAACUGGCCACAAUGCUUCAUCAAGCGCCACGACUGGCCCAAGUGCCUCAGGUGAAGUAACUGGCCACAGUGCCUCUGCAGAGGAAGCAACUGGCCACAGUGCCACGCAAGCGGCCACCCAUAAUGCCUCGACAAGUGUGGCAGCUGGCCCAAAUACCUUAGGUGAAGCAAUUUGCCACAGUGCUUCAUCAAGCGCCACGACUGGCCUAAAUACCUUCGGUGAAGCAACCGGCCACUUUGCCUCUGCAGCGGAAGCAACCGGCCACGGUACCUCAAGUGCGGAAUCUGGUUCAAAUGCCUCGGCAGAAGCGACAGGCGCCCUUGCCUCGGCAGAAGCGACAGGCGCCCUUGCCUCGGCAGAAGCGACAGGCGCCCUUGCCUCGGCAGAAGCGACAGGCGCCCUUGCCUCGGCAGAAGCGACAGGCGCCCUUGCCUCGGCAGAAGCGACAGGCGCCCUUGCCUCGGCAGAAGCGACAGGCGCCCUUGCCUCGGCAGAAGCGACAGGCGCCCUUGCCUCGGCAGAAGCGACAGGCGCCCUUGCCUCGGCAGAAGCGACAGGCGCCCUUGCCUCGGC
ensembl:lncRNA